rnacentral:rRNA from 1 species
AACGAACGCUGGCGGCAUGCCUAACACAUGCAAGUCGAACGGGAUCCUGGCUUCGGUCAGGUGAGAGUGGCGGACGGGUGAGUAACGCGUGGGAACCUGCCCAGUGGUGGGGGAUAACUGCGGGAAACUGCAGCUAAUACCGCAUGAGCCCGAGAGGGGAAAGAUUUAUCGCCAUUGGAGGGGCCCGCGUUCGAUUAGGUAGUUGGUGAGGUAAUGGCUCACCAAGCCGACGAUCGAUAGCUGGUCUGAGAGGAUGACCAGCCACACUGGGACUGAGGUACGGCCCAGACUCCUACGGGGAGCAGCAGUGGGGAAUAUUGGACAAUGGGGGCUACCCUGAUCCAGCAUGGCCGCGUGAGUGAUGAAGGCCUUCGGGCUGUAAAGCUCUUUUGCCAGGGACGAUGAUGACGGUACCUAGAGAAUAAGCCCCGGCUAACUUCGUGCCAGCCGCCGCCGUAAGAC